rnacentral:snoRNA from 14 species
AAGCUACACUCUAAGGCAGACUGUCAAAACUGUCUGACACAAUUUGAACUUGCCAUAGCAAGGAAGUCUAACCUAUUCCAGUAUUCUUUCUUCUGUGAAACAAACUGUUAUAGAGACUUAAACAGU